rnacentral:piRNA from 1 species
UCCAAACAACUUGCCAGAGAAAUUGGAAC